rnacentral:tRNA from 4 species
CGCGGGGUGGAGCAGCUUGGUAGCUCGCGAGGCUCAUAACCUUGAGGUCACGGGUUCAAAUCCCGUCUCCGCAA